rnacentral:lncRNA from 1 species
CGCGAGGGGGAGGGCGAGGGGCGAAGCCGAACCUCCCGCCUUGGGCGCCGGUGCCUGCGAUUCUCGAAACCAGCCCGACUCCCAGCGAACGGCGCCUCCGGGAGGGGGAGCAGAGCGCGGGACCCGCACCGUGGUCCUCUGAUUAGGGUUGGGUCGUGGAGAGCCGGCGACGUGGAAACGCUCCGGAUUCAGGAACGGCGCCCACCCCAUUGCCGCUCGGCCGCGUCCGGGGUCCAAUUCGCUUGACCCUGGUAGGAAGACGGGGUGGGAGCUGGGAAUCAGCCAAGGGACAGAGCCACCAACACGUUCAUGGGCUCAUCCACCCAUUCAUUGCGCGUUUUUUGAGUGCCUGAUCCUGUGCUCCCUAUUGUGGAGGUUCGCCAGGAAACGGGGUCUCACCCUCCGAGGCAAAGUCACCAGUGUACAACACAAGCCAGUGUCAGAUGGGGGCCCCAAGUCAUCAAAGACAUUAGGGCUGGAAAAACUGGCGGGGAAAGCUGCAGGUGGGACGGCGGGAAUCAACCCGGGUGCUCUGGAAGGAAUGGGAUGUCAUCAGGCGGCAGAGAAGGGAGGUGGAGGACCGAGCUGGGUUUAUUCAGGGCACCAUCCCCCAGCAGAGGAUGUGGGGAGGGACCGGUUGAAGUACAGCCUUGAAUCACAAAUUUAGGAAUUUGAAUUCGCUCUGUCACUCGGAGAAGAAACUAUUGAAAGUUCUUGACAAAGGGAGAUAAGCGAUUUAAGUGGUAUCCUGAAUAAUCGGUUGAUCGUUACUUUGGCACUAGGGUGAAAGUAGAGACAGGUAAGUUAUUAGAGGACCAAGUCUAAAACAUUGAAAUGAAAGAAGGAGCAAAUCCUGAUUAUAAGAUUGGCAUUGAAGAGGAGAAGAAACGAAGUUAAAAUUGAGUUCAAGGGUUUGCACUUGGAGGACUGGAAAACCAGUACUGCCUUUUGACGUCAGGGAAGAGGAUCUGGGACAGCUGGAGUUGGAUAUGUUUGAUGUCAGACCUAUCAGCGGUCAACAGGACGUCCCCGUUUCCUGUCAGCAGCUAAAAGUAACGACCUUGAACCUAGUUUAUAAUAAUUUUUCAGAAAACAGCAAAUUCUGUAUAAAAUUUAGGGGGCAUGAGUUCUGAACCAGCAAAGACAGGAAGAAAAAGCAAAGGAAACAUGCCUUCUAAGCAAAACACUUUUGAUUUACUCAUGAGAACUUGUCUUUUUCUUUUGAAUUCAUUCGCCAU